rnacentral:sRNA from 1 species
AUGCAAGUCGAGCGAUACAACCCUUCGGGGUGGAUUAGCGGCGGACCGGUGAGUAACACGUGGGUAACCUGCCUCAAAGAGGGGGAGAGCCUCCCGAAAGGGAGAUUAAUACCGCAUAACAUUAUUUCUUCGCAUGAAGAGAUAAUCAAAGGAGUAAUCCGCGUUGAGAUGGACCCGCGGCGCAUUAGCUACUUGGUGAGGUAAUAGCUCACCAAGGCGACGAUGCGUAGCCGACCUGAGAGGGUGAUCGGCCACAUUGGAACUGAGAUACGGUCCACACUCCUACGGGAGGCAGCAGUGGG